UACGUAGGGGGGCAAGCGUUGUCCGGAUUUAUUGGGCGUAAAGAGCGUGUAGGCGGUUAGGUAGGUCCGUUGUGAAAACUCGAGGCUCAACCUCGAGACGCCGAUGGAAACCAUCUAACUAGAGUCCGGAAGAGGAGAAUGGAAUUCCUGGUGUAGCGGUGAAAUGCGCAGAUAUCAGGAAGAACACCCGUGGCUAAGGCGGUUCUCUAGUACGGUACUGACGCUGAGACGCGAAAGCGUGGGGAGCGAACAGG
rnacentral:rRNA from 1 species